CGCAGCCGCGGUAAUUCCAGCUCCAAUAGCGUAUAUUAAAGUUGUUGCAGUUAAAAAGCUCGUAGUUGAACUUCGGGGUUUACCCAUUGGUCAGGCUUAAUUGUCUGUACUGGUGAGAUAGAUCUCUACCUUCUGAGGAACUUUCAUGUCAUUAAUUUGGUGUGAUUGGAAAUCAGGACUGUUACUUUGAAAAAAUUAGAGUGUUUAAAGCAGGCUAACGUCUGAAUACAUUAGCAUGGAAUAAUGAAAUAGGACGGACUGAUUCUAUUUCGUUGGUUUCUAGGAUCACCGUAAUGAUUAAUAGGGAUAGUUGGGGGCAUUAGUAUUCAAUUGUCAGAGGUGAAAUUCUUGGAUUUAUUGAAGACUAACUACUGCGAAAGCAUUUGCCAAGAUGUUUUCAUUAAUCAAGAACGAAAGUUAGGGGAUCGAAGACGAUCAGAUACCGUCGUAGUCUUAACCAUAAACUAUGCCGACUAGGGAUCGGACGAAGUUAAUUUUUUAAUGACGCGUUCGGCACCUU
rnacentral:rRNA from 1 species